AGCGUGGAGACAGGUGGUGCAUGGCUGUCGUCAGCUCGUGUCGUGAGAUGUUGGGUUAAGUCCCGCAACGAGCGCAACCCUCACCUCUUGUUGCCAUCAGGUAAUGCUGGGCACUCUAGAGGAACUGCCCCGGUCAACGGGGAGGAAGGCGGGGAUGACGUCAAGUCAUCAUGCCCCUUACGUCCUGGGCUACACACGUGCUACAAUGGCCGGUACAAAGGGAUGCCACACCGUGAGGUAGAGCUAAACCCAAAAAGCCGGUCUAAGUUCAGAUUGGAGUCUGCAACUCGACUCCAUGAAGGAGGAAUCGCUAGUAAUCGCGUAUCAGCACGACGCGGUGAAUACGUUCCCGGGCCUUGUACACACCGCCCGUCACACCACGAAAGCCAGCUGUACUCGAAGUCGCUGAG
rnacentral:rRNA from 1 species